GACGAACGCUGGCGGCGUGCCUAAUACAUGCAAGUAGAACGCUGAAGGAGGAGCUUGCUUCUCUGGAUGAGUUGCGAACGGGUGAGUAACGCGUAGGUAACCUGCCUGGUAGCGGGGGAUAACUAUUGGAAACGAUAGCUAAUACCGCAUAAUAUUGACUAUUGCAUGAUAGUCAGUUGAAAGGUGCAACUGCACCACUACCAGAUGGACCUGCGUUGUAUUAGCUAGUUGGUGGGGUAACGGCUCACCAAGGCGACGAUACAUAGCCGACCUGAGAGGGUGAUCGGCCACACUGGGACUGAGACACGGCCCAGACUCCUACGGGAGGCAGCAGUAGGGAAUCUUCGGCAAUGGACGGAAGUCUGACCGAGCAACGCCGCGUGAGUGAAGAAGGUUUUCGGAUCGUAAAGCUCUGUUGUAAGAGAAGAACGAGUGUGAGAGUGGAAAGCUCACACUGUGACGGUAUCUUACCAGAAAGGGACGGCUAACUACGUGCC
rnacentral:rRNA from 1 species